rnacentral:rRNA from 1 species
UACGGAGGAGGCAAGCGUUAUCCGGAAUUAUGGGGCGUAAAGCGUCCGUAGGUGGCCAUUCAAGUCUGCUGUCAAAGCAUGGAGCUUAACUCCAUAGAGGCAGUGGAAACUGAAUAGCUAGAGUUCGGUAGGGGUAGCGGGAAUUCCCAGUGUAGCGGUGAAAUGCGUAGAGAUUGGGAAGAACAUCGGUGGCGAAAGCGAGCUACUGGGCCGAAACUGACACUGAGGGACGAAAGCUAGGGGAGCGAAAGGG